rnacentral:rRNA from 1 species
AGAGUUUGAUCCUGGCUCAGAAUGAACGUGGCGGCGUGGAUUAGGCAUGCAAGUCGUGCGAGAAGUCUUUUGCUUGCAUUAGACGGAAAGCGACGAAAGGGAGAGUAACGCGUGGGUACCUACCUCUAGGUUCGGGAUAGCUGCGGGAAACUGUGGGUAAUACCGAAUAACAUCUCCGGAUCAAAGGUGUGAUUCCGCCUGGAGACGGGCCCGCGUCCUAUUAGCUUGUUGGUGGGGUAAUGGCUUACCAAGGCAAUGAUGGGUAUCGGGCGUGAGAGCGUGACCCGACUCACCGGGACUGAGACACUGCCCAGACACCUACGGGUGGCUGCAGUCGAGAAUCUUCGGCAAUGGGCGCAAGCCUGACCGAGCGACGCCGCGUGCGGGAUGAAGGCCCUCGGGUUGUAAACCGCUGUCAGUUGGGAGGAAAUCACAUGGGGUUCUCUCCAUGUGUUGACCUAUCUUCAGAGGAAGGACGGGCUAAGUUCGUGCCAGCAGCCGCGGUAAGACGAACCGUCCAAACGUUAUUCGGAAUUACUGGGCUUAAAGGGUGCGUAGGCGGCUUCGCAAGUUGGGUGUGAAAUCCCUCGGCUCAACCGAGGAAUGGCGCCCAAAACUGCGGAGCUCGAGGGAGACAGAGGUGAGUGGAACUUGUGGUGGAGCGGUGAAAUGCGUUGAUAUCACAAGGAACACCGGUGGCGAAAGCGGCUCACUGGGUCUUUUCUGACGCUGAGGCACGAAAGCUGGGGGAGCGAACGGGAUUAGAUACCCCGGUAGUCCCAGCUGUAAACGAUGAGCACUAGAUCGAAGGGUCCUCCAUAGCCUUUCGGUCGUAGCGAAAGUGUUAAGUGCUCCGCCUGGGGAGUAUGGUCGCAAGGCUGAAACUCAAAUGAAUUGACGG